GCGGUCUCCCGGUGGCGGUGGCGGCGGCGGCGGUGGCUUUGUCUCGUGGGCCGGUCCCCGGCGGCUCCCUCCCCCGAGCAGCUGCCGCCCGAGGGAGAGGGAGGAAGCCUCCCGGCGCCGACACCCCGCGCGCUCGCCGUCGCCACGACCAUGUAAGGGCCAUGAGAAGGGCUGGUCCUGGCGCAGCGCGGACAUGGAGGAGGACCUGUUCCAGCUCAGGCAGCUGCCGUGAGUGCCGGGCCCGGGCGCGGGCAGGGGGGUCACCGCGAAACCUGCCGCGGGGA
rnacentral:lncRNA from 1 species